GCUGGGUGUGGUGGUGCGCGCCUGUAAUCCCAGCUACUUGGGAGGCUGAGGCAGGGGAAUUGCUUGAACCCAGGAAGUGGAGGUUGCAGUGAGCUGAGAUCAUGCCACUGCACUCCAGCCUGGGUGACAGAGAGAGACCCUGUCUCCA
rnacentral:SRP_RNA from 1 species